GUGCCAGCCGCCGCGGUAAUACGUAGGGGGCAAGCGUUGUCCGGAAUUACUGGGCGUAAAGGGCGUGUAGGUGGGUAAUUAAGUCAUGGGUGAAAACUGCGAGCUCAACUUGCAGACUGCCUAUGAAACUGGUCAUCUUGAGGGCAGGAGAGGAAAGUGGAAUUCCUAGUGUAGCGGUGAAAUGCGUAGAUAUUAGGAGGAACACCAGUGGCGAAGGCGACUUUCUGGACUGUCCCUGACACUGAGGCGCGAAAGCUAGGGGAGCGAACGGGAUUAGAUACCCCCGUAGUCC
rnacentral:rRNA from 1 species